rnacentral:rRNA from 1 species
CUCUUAAAAUCUUUUAAGUAAGCUCUGCCCUAUGAUUAAUUAAAUGGCCGCAGUAUCCUGACUGUGCGAAGGUAGCAUAAUCAUUUGUUUUUUUAUUGAAAACUAGAAUGAAAGAGUCGACGAAAAAUAGCCUUUUGAUUUAUAAAAUUAAAUUGACAUAAAGGUUAAAAGGCCUUUAAAAAUCAGAAAGACGACAAGACCCUAUAAAACUUUACUAUACCCUAAAUAAAAAUAGUUGGACUGGGGCGGUUAAUACUAAAAACUGUAUAAUAUAAAAUAUAAAACAUAAAAUUUAAGAACUUACUAUUUAAAAAAUUUUGAACAAGUUACUUUAGGGAUAACAGCAUAAUUUUUUCAGAGAGCCCAAAUCGACGAGAAAGCUUAUGACCUCGAUGUUGAAUUGAAAA